rnacentral:rRNA from 1 species
AUUGAACGCUGGCGGCAGGCCUAACACAUGCAAGUCGAGCGGCAGCGGGAAAGUAGCUUGCUACUUUUGCCGGCGAGCGGCGGACGGGUGAGUAAUGCCUGGGGAUCUGCCCAGUCGAGGGGGAUAACUACUGGAAACGGUAGCUAAUACCGCAUACGCCCUACGGGGGAAAGCAGGGGACCUUCGGGCCUUGCGCGAUUGGAUGAACCCAGGUGGGAUUAGCUAGUUGGUGAGGUAAUGGCUCACCAAGGCGACGAUCCCUAGCUGGUCUGAGAGGAUGAUCAGCCACACUGGAACUGAGACACGGUCCAGACUCCUACGGGAGGCAGCAGUGGGGAAUAUUGCACAAUGGGGGAAACCCUGAUGCAGCCAUGCCGCGUGUGUGAAGAAGGCCUUCGGGUUGUAAAGCACUUUCAGCGAGGAGGAAAGGUUGGUAGCUAAUAACUGCCAGCUGUGACGUUACUCGCAGAAGAAGCACCGGCUAACUCCGUGCCAGCCGCCGCCGUAACAC